rnacentral:rRNA from 1 species
GAGUGCUAGAGAUGAUUAAACAAUUAAAAGCUUUCUUUAAUUAAAUAAUUGAAUUUAAUUUUUUAGUGCAAAAGCAAAAAUAAAAAUUAGGGACAAGAAGACCCUAUGAAUUUUUUAUUAAAUUUUAUAUAAAGUUUUAUAAAAUUUAAUUUAAUUGGGGUGAUGGAAAAAGAAUAAAUAUCUUUUUUUUAAAGAAAAUUGGUUCCGUUUUUAGCGAUUAAAUGAAAAAAAUACUCUAGGGAUAACAGCGUAAUAAUUUUGGAUAGUUCAUAUAGAUAAAAUAGUUUGCGACCUCGAUGUUGGAUUAGGAUUCUUUUUUGGUGAAGAAGUUAAAAAAAGAAGUUUGUUCAACUUAUAAUUUCCUACUUGAUCUGAGUUCA